CAUAUCCCAGGUGAUUUUAUUAUAACAGCAUUAGGCAUCCAUAUCCCAGGUGAUUUAUUAUAACAGCAUUAGGCAUCCAUAUCCCAGGUGAUUUAUUAUAACAGCAUUAGGCAUCCAUAUCCCAGGUGAUUUAUUAUAACAGCAUUAGGCAUCCAUAUCCCAGGUGAUUUAUUAUAACAGCAUUAGGCAUCCAUAUCCCAGGUGAUUUAUUAUAACAGCAUUAGGCAUCCAUAUCCCAGGUGAUUUAUUAUAACAGCAUUAGGCAUCCAUAUCCCAGGUGAUUUAUUAUAACAGCAUUAGGCAUCCAUAUCCCAGGUGAUUUUAUCAUAACAGCAUUAGGCAUCCAUAUCCCAGGUGGGGCUGGAAGGUUCUAUACACUACCAGUCAAAGUUGACACGCCUACUCAUCAGGGUGUUUCUUUCUUUUUACUGUUUUACUACUUUGUAGAAUAAUAGUUAAGACAUCAAAACUAUGAAAUAACACAUGGAAUCAAGUAGUAACCAAAAAAAGUGUUAAACAAAUCAAAAUAUAUUUGAGAUUCUUCAAAGUAGCCACCCUUUGUCUUGAUGACAGCUUUGCGCAUUCUUGCCAUUCUCUCAACCAGCUUCACCUGGAAUGCUUUUCCAACGGUCUUGAAGGAGUUCCCACAUGUUGAGCACUUGU